UACGAAGGGGGGCUAGCGUUUGUUCGGAAUUACUGGGCGUAAAGCGCACGUAGGCGGAUUGUUAAGUUAGGGGUGAAAUCCCAGGGCUCAACCCUGGAACUGCCUUUAAUACUGGCAAUCUCGAGUCCGAGAGAGGUGAGUGGAAUUCCGAGUGUAGAGGUGAAAUUCGUAGAUAUUCGGAGGAACACCAGUGGCGAAGGCGGACUCACUGGCUCGGUACUGACGCUGAGGUGCGAAAGCGUGGGGAGCAAACAGG
rnacentral:rRNA from 1 species